UACGUAGGGUGCAAGCGUUGUCCGGAAUCAUUGGGCGUAAAGCGUGCGCAGGCGGCGCGUUAAGACAGGUGUGAAAGCCCCGAGCUUAACUUGGGAAUUGCGCUUGUGACUGGCGUGCUGGAGUGUGGCAGAGGGAGGUGGAAUUCCACGUGUAGCAGUGAAAUGCGUAGAGAUGUGGAGGAACACCGAUGGCGAAGGCAGCCUCCUGGGCCAGCACUGACGCUCAUGCACGAAAGCGUGGGGAGCAAACAGG
rnacentral:rRNA from 1 species